rnacentral:ncRNA from 2 species
CCCCACCACCGUGGCGAUUUGUCCCCCGAUUGCGGGCCACGUUAAACAAUCCGCUAAAGAGGACGGAGGCCCCGCGCC